GGAAGGGGCCAGAUAAAAGUAGAGGGGGUGUCGGGCUCCAUGUGACAUUAUGGGCCGUAUUAUGUCUAUACUGGUGCUGUGAUUAUUUCAAAAUCCUUCAUGUUCAUGUGCACUACUAAAGAUUAGGCGGGGAGGUAAAGAUUGGGCUGGGAGGUAAAGAUUAGGCGGGGAGGUAAAGAUUAGGCGGGGAGGUAAAGAUUAGGCGGGGAGGUAAAGAUUGGGCUGGGAGGUAAAGAUUAGGCGGGGAGGUAAAGAUUGGGCUGGGAGGUAAAGAUUAGGCGGGGAGGUAAAGAUUGGGCUGGGAGGUAAAGAUUAGGCGGGGAGGUAAAGAUUGGGCUGGGAGGUAAAGAUUAGGCGGGGAGGUAAAGAUUAGGCGGGGAGGUAAAGAUUGGGCUGGGAGGUAAAGAUUAGGCGGGAGGUAAAGAUUGGGCGGGGAGGUAAAGAUUAGGCGGGGAGGUAAAGAUUAGGCGGGGAGGUAAAGAUUGGGCUGGGAGGUAAAGAUUAGGCGGGGAGGUAAAGAUUAGGCGGGGAGGUAAAGAUUAGGCGGGGAGGUAAAGAUUAGGCGGGGAGGUAAAGAUUAGGCGGGGAGGUAAAGAUUGGGCUGGGAGGUAAAGAUUAGGCGGGGAGGUAAAGAUUAGGCGGGGAGGUAAAGAUUGGGCUGGGAGGUAAAGAUUAGGCGGGGAGGUAAAGAUUAGGCGGGGAGGUAAAGAUUAGGCGGGGAGGUAAAGAUUGGGCUGGGAGGUAAAGAUUAGGCGGGGAGGUAAAGAUUAGGCGGGGAGGUAAAGAUUGGGCUGGGAGGUAAAGAUUAGGCGGGGAGGUAAAGAUUAGGCGGGGAGGUAAAGAUUGGGCUGGGAGGUAAAGAUUAGGCGGGGAGGUAAAGAUUAGGCGGGGAGGUAAAGAUUAGGCGGGGAGGUAAAGAUUAGGCGGGGAGGUAAAGAUUAGGCGGGGAGGUAAAGAUUAGGCGGGGAGGUAAAGAUUUAUCAGUGAGUGAUCA